AAAAAUAUUAUCGUUAUGGCUCAUAUAUACCCUAGAAUAAGGCUAGGGAGUCUCUACCAGAUAACCGUAAAUUGUCUGACUAUGGGUGGAACUAACUUGUAU
rnacentral:ncRNA from 2 species